UGGCCUUCCCGGAUCAGGAACCUGCCCUCACCUUCCCUCCCAGCGCCCUUUUCUCCCUUUCCCUGGGAAAGGGAGACUGCGGGCCCCAGGAAUAAGUUGGGAGUGAGAGACAGCCCAGAUCGCCCCAGAAGGUUCUUUUUGGUCAUUGGUUCCGCCCCAGGGGAGCUUCACCUACAGUCCCCCCUUACCCAGGUUCCAAAUACGGAAGUUGGACGUGCGUCGGUGCGGAGCCAGGCCUCGUUGAGCGCGGAACCGGAGAAGCAGCUCACUGCUUCGGAUUACACCCGCAUUCGAGGGUGGGGGACAGGGGGCAGGGCUCAGAUCUUGCCCCAGACGCACCCCUGGCCUCCGGGAGAGCAAAGGGUCUCGGACAGGUUGGCCUUCCCCAGCCCUCGGUUCCAACAGGCCCGGGAAACCGGCGAGCCGCGAGCAGAACAGAACUAAAAAAGUGAAUCAAUAAUCGAAUAAGAGGCAGUGGGGUGAGAAGCUCGUUUGCCCGACGCGCUGCGUGGGGCUAGAACCGUCUUGGGUCACCCCAGCGUCCUCCUGCAACAUCUGGGCCACUUGCCACCAGCUUUGCAAAGACGCCUGUGAUUUCCUUUGGUCUAUAUUUCUGUCCUAGACUUCGUUCGGUUGAUCGAUGAAGGAGACAAGCUGGCCUGCCGUGAGGUCAGUACAAUCGAUAUGGACCUCCAUGGCGGCUCCGAAGCGGAGAAACCUCCCCGGUUGAUGUGUGCUGGGUUCCACCCACCGAAAGGUUACCGAUUUAGGGUUUCUGCCUCCCGGCUGCCCUUACUGAACUGGAGGGUGUGUGGGUGGGUGAGAAGAAGCCUCAGUCCCCACCCAGGGGAGCCUAUGGGCACACCAAGGCCGGAAACCGUCCCCCACCCUCUCCCACCCGCCCGAGGAGCCGUUACCAUCGAGUCGGGAAGUCUUGGAAGCUCACUGGUAGAUUUCGUUUUUUGAACCUCUCUGCCUCGGAAUCCGACGUCUGGAUCAUUGCGCAGUCACUCUCCUUUGCUCCCCGUUCCUCACCUGCGAAAUGGGUUUGUUAAUAAAAUACCAUUUAUUGAAAAGAA